CUAUGUCAACAGACACAGAUGUUUUCCUUUCAUCAUAUGCUGAAGAUCACAGAUCCAAACUUAUUCAAAAAGCUACAGACGCAUUAUUCUUCUCCCAUUGGACUGGCAGGUUUUAUAGAAAUUGUUGCAUGUGGAUUCGACAAAUCGAAGAGCAGGAGAAAUUCUAAAAUGUCCCUUCACCUGAUCCACAUGUGCAGGGCAGUCAGAGGCUUUGUUGCAGGAGCAAUGACUGUUGGUAUGGGCUACUCCAUGUAUUGGAACUUCUAGGCAAAACCUAAGC
rnacentral:lncRNA from 1 species